AACGCACGAGACCUGCGGACCUGCGGAAGGAUCAUUACCGAGUGCGGGCCCUCGCGGCCCAACCUCCCACCCUUGUCUCUAUACACCUGUUGCUUUGGCGGGCCCACCGGGGCCACCUGGUCGCCGGGGGACGUCCGUCCCCGGGCCCGUGCCCGCCGAAGCGCUCUGUGAACCCUGAUGAAGAUGGGCUGUCUGAGUACUAUGAAAAUUGUCAAAACUUUCAACAACGGAUCUCUAGAU
rnacentral:misc_RNA from 1 species